CCUACGGGCGGCAGCAGUGGGGAAUAUUGCGCAAUGGGCGAAAGCCUGACGCAGCGACGCCGCGUGAGGGAUGAAGGUCUUCGGAUCGUAAACCUCUGUCAGCAGGGAAGAACGGUAACUGUGCUAAUCAGCAGUGCAUUGACGGUACCUGCAAAGGAAGCACCGGCUAACUCCGUGCCAGCAGCCGCGGUAAGACGGAGGGUGCGAGCGUUAGUCGGAAUUACUGGGCGUAAAGCGCUCGUAGGCGGUAUGUCAAGUCAAGGGUGAAAGCCCCGGGCUCAACGUGGGAACUGCCUUUGAAACUGGCAAACUGGAGGGUAGGAGAGGAUAGUGGAAUUCCAGGUGUAGGAGUGAAAUGCGUAGAUAUCUGGAGGAACAUCAGUGGCGAAGGCGACUAUCUGGCACAUAACUGACGCUGAGGAGCGAAAGCGUGGGUAGCAAACAGGAUUAGAUACCCCAGUAGUC
rnacentral:rRNA from 1 species